rnacentral:lncRNA from 7 species
UAGGAGGUAGGGUUGCAUGUUCGGUCUCAACUCUAAACUAUAUCAUAGAAAAGAAGGGUCUGAAGCUUCAUUGGAUGCAGGCCAGUUAAUGUUCCCAUUGUUUCUCUCUCUCAAGUCAAUCGUGGAUCUUGCUAGUUCCAUGCCUCUCAUUGGUAUGACUUAUGGUUGAUAGUUUCCUGCUCAUCAUCUGUUGUGUACAUGGAUUGUGCACACUCAACUGCUCACAGCCAUAUAAACAACAAAUUCAG